rnacentral:rRNA from 1 species
GAUGAACGCUAGCGGCAGGCCUAAUACAUGCAAGUCGAGGGAGAUUAUCGGAUUCGUCUGAUAUGAAACCGGCGCACGGGUGCGUAACACGGUAUGCAACCUACCUUUAACUGGGGUAUAGCUCAGAGAAAUCUGAAUUAAUCCCCCAUAACACUACGACAUGGCAUCAUGAUGUAGUUAAAGCUCCGGCGGUUAAGGAUGGGCAUGCGGUACAUUAGCUAGUUGGUGAGGUAACGGCUCACCAAGGCUACGAUGUAUAGGGGGUCUGAGAGGAUGAUCCCCCACACUGGUACUGAGACACGGACCAGACUCCUACGGGAGGCAGCAGUAGGGAAUAUUGGUCAAUGGACGCAAGUCUGAACCAGCCAUGCCGCGUGAAGGAUGAAGGCCCUCUGGGUCGUAAACUUCUUUUAUUAGGGAAGAAACCUCAGGAUGCGUCCUGAGCUGACGGUACUUAAU